UUUCGAUAAAGGCAAACUCAAUGAAAAUUGAGGACGCAAAGCUACAGGUCUUCGGUUUGGGACUCCAAACCAUGACGGCUGAGUUACCAAA
rfam:[Clostridium] straminisolvens JCM 21531 DNA, contig: contig00041.